UUGAAUGAAACCUAAAUCCCAUUUCCUCACCUGUAACCUAAGUGUGGAAGAGUCGGCUACCACGCUGUGCAGUCCUCCCGCCUCAGCCUCCCGCGGACUGGAAUUCAGGCAUGCGUCACAUAUCCAGCUAACAACCUAUCCCCUUGACACCUGUCUGUGGAGUCUGUUUCCUGUCUCUCUCAUGGGUUAUGUGCUCUCUACUCUUUUUAUUUGUUUCUUCAUUCACCUAGUGCUGUCUGUCCCUGCCAUACAAAAGCAUCAUAUGUAUUUGUCUCAUUUAUUUUCUCGUCACUGGGACACAAUUCCCGACACCCACAAUUCUAAGAAGGAGAGGUUUACUUUAGCUCGCAGUGUGUAGAGGUUUCAGUCCAUAGUCUUCUGGCUCCAAGGCGGGUGGCAUGGCAGAGAAGAAAGAUUUCAGGGCUUGGAAGCAAAGCUAUUGCAGAGGAGGCAAAUGACUCAGCUUUCAGGCCACGCCCCAGUGACCACGCCUCCACCAGGCUCCACCUCCCGACAUCUCAUUGGCUGUAAACCCAUCAGUGGGCCAAUCCACUGACCAGGAUCACAGCUGCAUGACCCAAUCACCUCCCCAAAGUCCCACCUAUGAUCUCAUGGCUUUUGGGGUCCCAUCCAGACAUAGACCACAGCAGUAUUCACUCAAGGACCCUUAACAUGAAGCCCUCCCUAGUCCGCCCAGCUGGAAGUCCUCAAUAGGACUCCUGAAUUCUCACAGUUCUUUGUCUUCGCUCCAUUAGGAGUAUUCAGUAUUUUGAGUUGGAAUUACAUGAGGAAAGAGGAUUGUGUGCUGGUUAGAACCAGACCCUAUAUUCAAAUUCCAGUCCAGCCAGGCAUGGUGGUGCAUGCCUUUCAUUCCAGUACUCGGGAGACCGUGGCAGGAGGAUUCCCAUAAGUUAGAGGCCAGCCUGGGCUGCAUAGCGAGAUCCUGUCUCAAACAACAAAAGAAAACGUUCAAGGACUCACGGCGUCUUUCAAAGGGCAUAACGAACACUUCCGGCCACGGCACCUUGGUCAGGGCCAUUGGAUCCACAAGGAAAUAUUUUAGUCACGUAAAUCUCCAGAGCAAGGUGAGCAGGGCUCAUCCCUUCUCCUUGGCAGGCCUGGGCAUCUCAUGCAAGCACCCCGAUUCCCUCCAGCUCCCCAGUGUCACGUCUUCACCGCUGCACGCCCUGAUACCAAAGUCACUGUCCCCAUCUCUGGGCCGCAGGACCCAACACCCACAGCUUAGAGGAAGAGGGAGGGGUUUAUUUUGUCUCACAGUUUUCAGAGGUUUCAGUCCACUGUCAGCUGGCUCCAAGCAUGGGGUCAUCACAGAGGAGACACAGCUCAGGGCCUGGCGUCCCGGAAGUAGAGCUUGUAGGAAGUGA
rnacentral:lncRNA from 1 species